rnacentral:rRNA from 1 species
UACGAAGGGGGCUAGCGUUGUUCGGAUUUACUGGGCGUAAAGCGCACGUAGGCGGGUCGUUAAGUCGGGGGUGAAAUCCUGGAGCUCAACUCCAGAACUGCCUUCGAUACUGGCGACCUAGAGUCCGGAAGAGGUGAGUGGAACUCCUAGUGUAGAGGUGGAAUUCGUAGAUAUUGGGAAGAACACCGAUGGCGAAGGCAGCCAUCUGGACCGACACUGACGCUGAGGCGCGAAAGCGUGGGGAGCAAACAGG